GUGGGCGUGGUGUAACGGGUAGCACGUCCGCCUGACAUGCGGAAGGUCCCGGGUUCAAUCCCCGGGUAGUGCCUGCC